rnacentral:lncRNA from 1 species
UCUCUUGCACCAAUGCGCACUCUUCAGAGUGCUCAUGAGAUGGAAGGAGAUACCACCAGGGUCCUUCUGUGGCUUACUUUUUAAGUCGCUGCAGGAAGGUGCAUGGACAGAAUUCCAUUUUCUCACAAUAGUGCAACCUUUACAAACUACCCCUGGCCAAGCUUUCCCAAGCCCUUCUGCCACACCCAUGUCCCUGUUGUAUAUUCUUCAUCACCAUGACUACAGUCUAUCAGAAUGAACAAGUAAAAUCAUUAUCGCUGUGUCUCAUCUGCAGGUAAAUGAAAUGGCCAAACUCAACCUAGCAUUUAGAUCCAAAAUAAAGGGUACAUUUCCAUUGUUUUCAGGGGGCAGAAUGGUACCUUCUGGUAUGAGAACAAGUAUAGUUAUUGUAGUAAUACAGAGACAUUAUUUAGGGCAGUGGUUCUCAACCUGUGGGUCAUGACCCCUGACAAACCUCUAUCUUCAAAAAAAAUAUUUACAUUAUGGUUCAUAAUAGUAGCAACAUUUCAGUUAUGAAAUAGCAAGAACAAUGAUUUUAUGGUUGGGGGAUUCAUCACAACACGAGGAACUGUAUUAAAGGGUCAUAGCAUUAGGAAGGUUGAAAGCCACUGGCCUAGGAAGAAAGUAAAGAAAAAUUCAAAUUAUUACAUUUUGGUCUUGUUGGAUGUUCCUUUCCCUCUAAAACCAAGUGGUGAUUCAAAAAAGAAUCAUCAAAGAACCUAUUAACGUAGCAAGAAUCUGACUUAAGCCUUGCCUUCUGUUCGUCUGUAUCAUUUCUGGUGGAGGAAAGGACCACCAACUCACAGGGGGUGGCUCUGACAUCCUGUCCCACUGUCCUAUCGCCUUUCUUAUUGACAGUGAUGUAAAGGAAGGAGAAAAUAAACUAGCAGAUCUUAGGCCCAGAAUCCUCAGUGGCAAAGAAAUGGUUCCAAUCAGAGAAGUAAAUAGCAAAGGAGAAAUGUUCAGUUCCUUCAAGGGGACAAAGCAACAAAGCGUGCAGGAACAUGUCUCCUGGAGGUUAGAAAGGUGCUGGCAAGCUUUUGUUUGGAAAUUCCUGUUGUGCCUAGAACAAUUUAAGCAUUAUGAAAAUUAGAGUGUGCUUCCCCCCUCUAAGGAUUUUGAGUCCAAUGGUAGAUGUUUUCAGAGUGUUAUCUGUUUGAAAUGUUUGGAUUUUUUUUUAAAUCCACUGACUUUGUGGACAGUGUGACCUCCAGAAUUCCAACUGAAUCUCUCCUGAUAUUCCAAUUCUGCCCACGUAGUCUCAUCCUGGAGCCAUGCUGAAUAACAACCUCUGCUCUAUAGCAUCUUGAGGACUGUUUCAUUUUGGUGAUGUACCACAAUGUGUUUACCUAUUUAUCCACUAAAAGCUUUAACUCGACACAGAUUGGGCCUAUUACAAAUAAAGCAACUGCAAGUAUUUUAAUAGUUUCCAGUGAAUAUGUUUUCACUUUCCUAGAGUACAUACCCAGGAAUGGAAUGGCAAGGUCAUAGGGCAACCUCUUUGCUGAUAAGUUACAGCUUAUGUUUUCAUUCUUGUUACAGUGAAAAAAAAAUAACUAGGCUAUAGUUUAACCUUAUCAGCUGCGGCUUGUGGAAAUAUUUUGCCUACCAUGGGUCACAAAGGUUUUCUCUUGUUUCUUUCCAAAAUUUUUAUGGUAUUCCAUUUUACUUUUAAAAUCGUGAUCCAUUUUGAGUUUCUUUAUGAAUAGAGGAGAAUUAAGUUGAGGGUUUUUGUUCUGUUUUUUUUUGUGUGUGUGUUUUUUUUUUUAAUAUGGAAUCUAGUUGUUUCAAGACCACUUGUUGUAAACUGAAUCCUUUCUCUGUUAAAUAGUUUUUCACUUUUGUCUAAUGGACCAUAUUUGUAUGCCCCGUACUGUUCUGUCCUUCUGCUCUGUUGAAAUAAAUAUUGACAUAAAUAUAUGCACAAAGCCUACUUUAUUGUUAUGUAGUAACAACAAACGAAUUUUAAAGUGCUAUUUAUGAUGAAAUAUACAAGUCAUAAAUAUAAUAAUAUAUAGGCUAUAUAUGUUGAAAAUUAGAAUAAUACAUGUAAUCUAUAAAUUUAACUCAGUUCCAACUAAAAGUCCAAAACGGUUUUGUAUAGAGACAAACAAGCUGGUUCUAGAAGCUGUAUAGUAAGGAAGAAGAAAUGGAAAAACCUUGGUGAAUUGUAAAAGGUGAUCUUAGAAGUAUCAUUCUACCCAAAUUGAAGAACUAUAGGAUCAUAGUAAUUAGAACAAUUAUAUAUAUGUAUAUAUAUAUAUAUAAUCUUACAUUUGACUAUUGUUUCUACAUAGCAAUAAAGUAGGUUCUUGUGACUUGGCCAUGUAUCAUGAAACAUUAUUAAACUCAAUUCCGUGAUUUCAAAAC